GACGUAGCGUAGUCUGGUUAGCGCGCCUGCUUUGGGAGCAGGAGGCCGUGAGUUCGAAUCUCACCGUC
rnacentral:tRNA from 1 species